rnacentral:rRNA from 1 species
CUCUAUUGAGAAACUGAGCUUGCUCUGUGGGAUCAGUGGCGAACGGGUGAGUAACACGUGAGCAACCUGCCCCUGACUCUGGGAUAAGCGCUGGAAACGGCGUCUAAUACUGGAUAUGUGACGUGACCGCAUGGUCUGCGUUUGGAAAGAUUUUUCGGUUGGGGAUGGGCUCGCGGCCUAUCAGCUUGUUGGUGAGGUAAUGGCUCACCAAGGCGUCGACGGGUAGCCGGCCUGAGAGGGUGACCGGCCACACUGGGACUGAGACACGGCCCAGACUCCUACGGGAGGCAGCAGUGGGGAAUAUUGCACAAUGGGCGGAAGCCUGAUGCAGCAACGCCGCGUGAGGGAUGACGGCCUUCGGGUUGUAAACCUCUUUUAGCAGGGAAGAAGCGAAAGUGACGGUACCUGCAGAAAAAGCGCCGGCUAACUACGUGCCAGCAGCCGCGGUAAUACGUAGGGCGCAAGCGUUAUCCGGAAUUAUUGGGCGUAAAGAGCUCGUAGGCGGUUUGUCGCGUCUGCUGUGAAAUCCCGAGGCUCAACCUCGGGCCUGCAGUGGGUACGGGCAGACUAGAGUGCGGUAGGGGAGAUUGGAAUUCCUGGUGUAGCGGUGGAAUGCGCAGAUAUCAGGAGGAACACCGAUGGCGAAGGCAGAUCUCUGGGCCGUAACUGACGCUGAGGAGCGAAAGGGUGGGGAGCAAACAGGCUUAGAUACCCUGGUAGUCCACCCCGUAAACGUUGGGAACUAGUUGUGGGGUCCAUUCCACGGAUUCCGUGAC